rnacentral:rRNA from 1 species
AUGAACGCUGGCGGCGUGCCUAAUACAUGCAAGUAGAACGCUGAAGGAGGAGCUUGCUCCUCUGGAUGAGUUGCGAACGGGUGAGUAACGCGUAGGUAACCUGCCUGGUAGCGGGGGAUAACUAUUGGAAACGAUAGCUAAUACCGCAUGACAACAGCUAUUGCAUGAUAACUGUUUAAAAGGGGCAACUGCUCCACUACCAGAUGGACCUGCGUUGUAUUAGCUAGUUGGUGAGGUAACGGCUCACCAAGGCGACGAUACAUAGCCGACCUGAGAGGGUGAUCCGCCACACUGGGACUGAGACACGGCCCAGACUCCUACGGGAGGCAGCAGUAGGGAAUCUUCGGGAAUGGACGGAAGACUGACCGAGCAACGCAGCGUGAGUGAAGAAGGGUUUCGGAUCGUAAAGCUCUGUUGUAAGAGAAGAACGAGUGUGAGAGUGGAAAGUUCACACUGUGACGGUAUCUUACCAGAAAGGGACGGCUAACUACGUG